rnacentral:rRNA from 1 species
CGCAUCUGUGCAUGCAGCAUAUCAAUAAGCGGAGGAAAAGAAACUAACAAGGAUUCCCUCAGUAACGGCGAGUGAAGCGGGAAGAGCUCAAAUUUGAAAUCUUGAAAGGUCACCUUUCACGAAUUGUAGUUUAAAGAAGUGUUUUCUGUUACGAUCGUAAUAUAAGUUCUUUGGAAUAGGACAUCACAGAGGGUGAGAAUCCCGUCUAUGAUUGCGAUUUGUAGCUUUGUGAUACACUUUCAAAGAGUCGGGUUGUUUGGGAAUGCAGCCCAAAACGGGAGGUAAAUUUCUUCUAAGGCUAAAUAUUGGCGAGAGACCGAUAGCGAACAAGUACCGUGAGGGAAAGAUGAAAAGAACUUUGAAAAGAGAGUUAAAUAGUACGUGAAAUUGUCAAAAGGGAAGCGUUUAACACCAGUGUUGUUUUCUGAAAAUCAACCUCUGUUAGCUUUAUGCAUGUUUGUUUAGACCUAAUCAGCUAUCUUGCAUGUUCUAUUGUUUGCAGUGGUGCACUUUUCAGUUUACAGGUCAACAUCAGUUUUUUUUACCGUAAAAAAGUUAAAGAAAGGUAGCUCAUGGCUCCGGUCGUGAGUGUUAUAGUCUUUUUCCUAUGCGGUAGGAGAGACUGAGGUCUGCAGUGUAAGCUAUUUGGCUAGAUACUCAGGUGCUAUGUGAUACCAUUUCAUAAACAACUUGUUGAUUAUGUUUUGUCUAUUGCAUACUCGCUUGUACUAUCAUACCUACGCUUAGGAUGUUGACGAUCAGCUGAGCGCG